rnacentral:tRNA from 1 species
GGGGAUUUAGCUCAGUGGUAGAGCAUUCGACUGCAGAUCGAGAGGUCGCCGGUUCAACUCCGGCAGUCCCCU